UGCAGUUGGUAACCAAACCUUUAUACCAAGGUAACCAAACUGGCAUACCAAGGUAACCAAUCCACCUCCACACCUUCAGUUUUUUUAUAGUGCAGUUGGUAACCAAACCUUCACACCAAGAUAACCAAACAUUCAUACCAAGGUAACAAAACCUUUAUACCAAGGUAACUGAUCCACAUCCACACCUGCAGUUUUUUUAUAGUGCAGUUGGUAGCCAAACAUUCAUACCAAGGUAACCAAUUCAGUGUUAUUAGGUUACCAAUUUAUUUUGAAUGUGAUGCAGUUGAUAGCCAAACCUUCAUGCAGUGGGAAGCC
rnacentral:lncRNA from 1 species